CAAGUACUCCCUCUGUUCGGAAUUACUUGUCAUCAAAAUGGAUGUGUCUAGAACUAAAAUACAUCUAGAUACAUCCAUUUCAAUGACAAGUAUUUUCGGACGAAGGGAGUACAAG
rnacentral:pre_miRNA from 1 species